rnacentral:rRNA from 1 species
CCUACGGGAGGCAGCAGUAGGGAAUAUUGGUCAAUGGAUGGAAGUCUGAACCAGCCAUGCCGCGUGCAGGAAGAAGGCCUUCUGGGUUGUAAACUGCUUUUGCCAGGGGAUAAAAUGGCUAUGCGUAGCUAAUUGAAGGUACCUGGUGAAUAAGCCACGGCUAACUACGUGCCAGCAGCCGCGGUAAUACGUAGGUGGCAAGCGUUGUCCGGAUUUAUUGGGUUUAAAGGGUGCGUAGGCGGCUUUGUAAGUCAGUGGUGAAAUAUCGCAGCUUAACUGUGAGGGUGCCAUUGAUACUGCAGAGCUUGAGUACAGAUGAGGUAGGCGGAAUUGACGGUGUAGCGGUGAAAUGCUUAGAUAUCGUCAAGAACACCUAUAGCGAAGGCAGCUUACUAGGCUGUAACUGACGCUGAGGCACGAAAGUGUGGGGAUCAAACAGGAUUAGAUACCCUGGUAGUCCACACUGUAAACGUUGAUUACUCGCUGUGUGCGAUAUACAGUACGCGGCCAAGCGAAAGCGAUAAGUAGUCCACCUGGGGAGUACGCCGGCAACGGUGAAACUCAAAGGAAUUGACGG